UGAGCGUAGUGAACAUCUCGGUGGAUAUUUUUCCUGUUUAUUUUGUCAAGGCUGAGCCUGCCAGAGAAGGCCUUCACUCACCGCCUGCAUCCCCUCAUCUCUUUUCUCCUCAGUCUGAGGAGACUGGCUUUCCCCUCCCCGACUCCACCUUCCUGGGCAAGGCUUUCUCCUUGGGCAGUCUAAAGCAAAUUUUCAUUUCAAAUCCAUAUUUCCAGCCCUGACCUGUGAUUCAACUCAACUCGGGUGCUCCCGCCUGUGGGAACAUAUCCGCUCAGCAGACAAUAGGACAUUGUUGGGAAGAACAAGGGCUUUGGGGAAUCACUCUAGCCUAGAGUUCCCACUUUCUGAGAGACAGAAACCAUGAGAAAUGGAAAGUGCUGAGAACUUGAACUCUGCUAUUUCAGGGUGGAGCAGGACAUACCAUUCCACUCUGUGAAGAAGACUUGCUGACUUUUUGUAGCUGAGAAAACACUGGAGUCCUGUGUGAUUGGUGGGGUAAAUCUUAUGGCUUAUGAGGGAAAUUCUGUUUCCUUUACUCUCCUUAAUUGCUUUCAAACUCAGUUCAGAAACUCUCAGCAACGAUCCGCAACGAGAUCCCGUGGUUGCUUUCUUUUCCCCUUGUAUUUGGCCUUUCUUUCAAAACACUGUCUUUUUUUUUUCAAACUUUAAACUUUUUAUUUUGUAUUGGGAUAUCCCCCGUGGCUCAACUUGUAAAGAACUUGACUGCCAACGCAGGAGAUGUGGGAGAUCUCCUGAGACACAGGUUUGAUCCCUGGAGAAGGAAAUAGCAGUAUUCUUGCCUGGAAAAUUCCAUGGACAGAGGAGCCUGGCAGAUUACAGUCCUUGGGGUCACGCAUGCAUGCCCACAGCGGAUUAACAAAGUUGUGACGGUUUCAGGCGAACAGCGAAGGGACUCAGCCAUACAUGGACAUGUAUCCGUUCUCCCCCAAACUCCUCUCCCAUCCAGGCUGACAAGUCACCUUGAGUGGAGUUCCAUGUGCUAUACAAUAGGUCCUUGUUGGUUAUCCAUCUUGAAUAUAGCAGUGUGUAUAUGACCUUCCCAAACUCCCUGCCAAUGUUUUCAAAAUAGGGUUUCUGUGGGAUUUUUACCUGCCUUUCUUUCUCUCUUCCUUUCUUCAUUCCUUCAUUUCUUCCUUUCUUAGUUUUUUUUUUUGCUGUGCCACAGGGCACGCAGCAUCUUAGUUCCCCAAGGAGGGAUCGAACCGGCAUCCCUUAAGUGGAAACUCGGAGUCUUAACCACUGGACUGCCAGGGAAGUCCCCUCUUGCCUGUUUUUCAUUGGCAUGCUUCCUCCCACUCUCCUUACCUUCCGCAGGAGACGGGACCCAGGAAAGGCAGACCUGCCCACUCUCUGCUCUUUAUUAACGAGGGGCUUUGGGGUCAUGUGAACUACACCUUCUGUAGACUGAGAGGCCAGCCUUGGAGAGAAACAAAGUUUGGUCAGGAUUUCUCAGGGUCCUCUUGUGAUAGAGCCACGUACCAGGGGAAGCUUUUGGAGGGGGAUGUUUUAAAUGCAGAAGGCCUGAGAGCAAGUGGAGCUGGGCAUUUGUGCUCCUGAGGCCUGAUGUCCCUGGAGAGGCUUCCAGCGGGCUUGGACAUCCAGAAACUUCAGUCCCUGUGCUUAGACUCAUUCAUGCAAGGAGACACAUCCUAACUAGGGCACUAUACAAUUUAUCAUACAGACUAGGACAUUUUUAAGAAUAAAUAGAUUAUCAGAAUAAUUAAAAUAAUAUAGUUUUAAAAGUAUUUUUGAAUGACAAAUUAUUGAAUUUAUAAGGUAGUACUGGGUCAGCUGGUAAAGAAUCUGCCUGCAAUGUGGGAGACCUAGAUGCAGUCCCUGGGUUGGGAAGAUCCCCUGGAGAAGGGAUAGGUUACCCAUUCCAGUAUUCUGGCCUGGGGAAUUCCAUGGACUGGAUAGUCCAUGGGGUCGCAAAGGGUUGGACAUUGCUGAGAGACUUUCAUGUCACACACUCAAAAACUAUUUUCAAAAGUAAAAAUACAUGUUCAUAUGUAUUAAAGAUUAAAAUUUAUGCUAUUUGAGCAUAAAAAACAUAAGAAUAAUUUUUUGGUACACAGUAACAUACUUUAAAGUUCUCUUAGAUAGAAUAUGUCUCUAAUAAUACAUCAUAGGUGUUUUUUUCCUAAAGACUAUAUUCUUUUUCAAUAAGGUCCCUUUAUUUUUAAUUUUUCAUAAAGUUUCCUAAAACCCUCAAAUUUUCAUUUUAUAGUUAAUUUGAAUUGUUAGCAGCUUUUUUCUUCAUGGUUAUAAUCUAAAUUGAAAAGUUAAUAAUUGUAAGGUCUGCAUAAUACCUGAUAAGCUCAGAACAAAGUGAAAGAGUUUCAAUUCUAAUUUUCUUUUAUUUUUUCAUUUAAAUAUAUAAAUACUUAAAUUCAAAUAUUUUCAUAGGUACUUUCUUUUUUUCUUUUUUAACUGUCAAUUUUGCACUUUUGUAUGACAAAUAUUUUUUAAAGGAAAAAAUCAUCAAAAAUUCUGUCAUGAUUCUUUGAGUAUUACAAAUAUACACAUUUGUUGAGUAAAACAAAUAUACAUAUUACAAAAAUAUAGGCCUUUCAAUUUCAUUCUGUUGUGGCAAAGAAUGCAAAUUUAGGCAAUUAAAAACAAACAAACAAAAAGUUUGUCUAACAGUUCUUUGUGUAAGUCAAAAUAAUGGAAAGCACAAUUAUGAAACUUUAAAAUUAAAUCUUGUAAAAACCACUUAAACUCUCAUUGUUUAUCAGUUCCUCCCUUGCUUUAUGUGGCUUAGUUUCAGUAUCUUCUUGUUUGCUUUAGUUUCAAUAAUUGCAAUUUGCUAAAAUGUACACGCUAAAGUUUUGGGGAGCUCCUCUUAUUGAAUACUUUGAAUAAGUACUUCCAACUGAUUUUAAACAAAAUAUUGCAAAAUUUAAAUAAUAUAUUUACAAAAAUGUUCAAUGUCAUUAUAGGACACAUGUUGAGUUAGAAAUUUGUUCUUGAAAGAUUCAAAUGUUUCUAAAAUCUAACUAAUUUUGGACAACAAAAAGUGAAUUUAUAUGCCACCUUACCUAAGCAUUUUCUUGCUUCAACAUCAGUGUUGCCAUGAAAAUUAUGUAGCUCAGUUAUUUUACCUUUAUAUUUAUAAAAAUAUUCAUAAAUUUUGAUAAUACAGUUUCUAUUACAAUUGGUAGAGUAUCACAGCUUGUUUGAACACAAUUAUGAAUCAUCUGUAUAGAAAUCAAUUCCAGUAUAUUUUUGUUCCAUAGCACUGUUUUUUUUUCCCAUAGUCCUGAACAUCACCAAAAUUUGUAAACAUACAAUGACUGCAAAAACAAGUAAUUUAAUCCUUAGUGUUGCACUUUGUAACUGAAUUUACAGUAAUAGCAUUCACAAUAAUUUCAGGCAUUUUGCUUUAAACAAAAUAAAAUCCUGAAAGUUUUGCUUUGAUUCCAUGAAAAAUUUUUUGGAAGUUUGCAACUAUUGCUGGAACUAAUGGGAUUUUUUUGGUGACACCAGAUGACACAGAUAUAAAAUUGGCAUUAUUUAAUAGUUUGGCUGGAUCAUCAAAAAAGCAAGAGAGUUCCAGAAAACAUCUAUUUCUGCUUUAUUGACUAUGUCAAAGCCUUUGACUGUGUGGAUCACAAUAAACUGUGGAAAAUUCUGAAA